AUGAUCUCAUGGUUCAGGGCUCUGGGUGGGGAGCAGUGCUGCUGCUGGGCUUGUUUUAACAAGCUCUUCUUGCAGGGCAGCUGCUGGAGGCAGUUCCACCAGAGAGGCAAAACCCUUGUGGUUGCGGGAGCAGAACAAGUUCCUUCUAGACACUUGAGAAUAAGGAAGAGUGCAGAAAGGCUGUGCUGGGCCUUAAAUUCACCUUCAGGAACAACUCUUGGCCCAAGCUGCCUUAUCACAAAGAAUGAUAGCAGCACAUCACUGCAGGAGAGCUUGGAGUUGCUACUGCAGUCCCAGAACAAUAUCCCAAUGCUGAGAGUAGGAAAAUUCAGAGUGACAGGUGCUUCAUAG
rnacentral:lncRNA from 1 species